GACGAACGCUGGCGGCGUGCUUAACACAUGCAAGUCGAACGGAAAGGCCCUGCUUUUGUGGGGUGCUCGAGUGGCGAACGGGUGAGUAACACGUGAGUAACCUGCCCUUGACUUUGGGAUAACUUCAGGAAACUGGGGCUAAUACCGGAUAGGAGCUCCUGCUGCAUGGUGGGGGUUGGACAGUUUCGGCGGUUGGGGAUGGACUCGCGGCUUAUCAGCGUGUUGGUGGGGUAGUGGCUUACCAAGGCUUGGACGGGUAGCCGGCCUGAGAGGGUGACCGGCCACAUUGGGACUGAGAUACGGCCCAGAAGCCUACGGGAGGGAGCAGUGGGGAAUAGUGCACAAUGGGCGGAAGCCGGAUGCAGCAACGCCGCGUGCGGGAUGACGGCCUUCGGGUUGUAAACCGCUUUCGCCUGUGACGAAGCGUGAGUGACGGUAAUGGGUAAAGAAGCACCGGCUAACUACGUG
rnacentral:rRNA from 1 species